AUUUUAGUAAAAAAUCGCAAAAUAUUCAUCAUCUACU
rnacentral:sRNA from 1 species